rnacentral:tRNA from 1 species
GUUUAUGUAGUUUAUAAAAAAUAACACAUUUUCGUUGUGUAGAUACUCU